GGGCGCGUAACUCAGUGGUAGAGUGCUCGCUUUGCACCUAGCGUGAUUAACUCACAUGCGAGAAGUCCAGGGUUCGAUCCCCUGCCCGUCCA